rnacentral:rRNA from 1 species
AUGGUAGCGGUCCUGCAGUUGUGCAUCGAGGAACUCUGCUUGGUGUACCACAUCGCAACGGUCACAAAAUGGCCCAAGCGCCUCAAAGAGUUCCUGCAUGAGGAGAAAUUGUACACGUUUGCCGGUUUCAGCAUUGAAGGUGACAAGCGGAUGCUGAACAAGUUUGGUUUGGAGAUCAACCCCAACAACUUCAUCGACAUGUAG